UACGUAGGUGGCAAGCGUUGUCCGGAAUUAUUGGGCGUAAAGCGCGCGCAGGUGGUUCCUUAAGUCUGAUGUGAAAGCCCGCGGCUCAACCGUGGAGGGUCAUUGGAAACUGGGGAACUUGAGUGCAGAAGAGGAAAGUGGAAUUCCAAGUGUAGCGGUGAAAUGCGUAGAGAUUUGGAGGAACACCAGUGGCGAAGGCGACUUUCUGGUCUGUAACUGACACUGAGGCGCGAAAGCGUGGGUAGCAAACAGG
rnacentral:rRNA from 1 species